UUAACUUAUUUGUAUAUUACUCAGACAACACAAAAAUCAAGAGUUUAGGGUCCUCUGGCAGGCACGGACCAGCCUAAGCCAGUGGUCAUAAGACGGGCCUGCCAAAGCAACAAAGGUAUUGUAAACAAAGGGUGGGAGAUAUACCCCGUAAAGGGCAUGUUCUCAGUAAUGAUCCUUCCGCAGGUUCACCUACGGAAA
rnacentral:misc_RNA from 1 species